UUUGUGUUUCAUUUAGAUUAUUAUAAUGUGCACUUAAAUGUUUAGCUUAAGCAUUGCAUUUUUAAUAACUUUAACUGCAUUUGGAUAUGUGUUAGUUUAAUAGUGAUGUUAGCUUAGGUUGUUGAGUUGGUCAUUAGCUAUAUUGUGAUGUUUCUUUGAGAUUUCUGAACUGUAACUGUGGUUGCUACUAUGACCUUGGUUAAUGUGAAACUUGUAUUCGCACUUGCAAUUGUGUAUAUGCUUAGUUGCCCAGUUGGUGUUACAUCUU
rnacentral:lncRNA from 1 species